rnacentral:rRNA from 1 species
AAAGCCUGUCUCAGUUCGGAUUGGAGGCUGAAACCCGCCUCCAUGAAGUUGGAUUCGCUAGUAAUCGCGCAUCAGCCAUGGCGCGGUGAAUACGUUCCCGGGCCUUGUACACACCGCCCGUCAAGCCAUGGGAGCCGGGGGUGCCUGAAGUUCGUGACCGCAAGGAGCGACCUAGGGCAAAACUGGUGACUGGGGCUAAGUCGUAACAAGGUACC